AACGUAGGAGGCGAGCGAUAUCCGGGUUUACAGGGUGUAAAGCGCGUGCGGGCGGCUCGAUAAGUUGGAUGUGAAAGCUUCCGGCUCAACUGGGAGAGGUCGUUCAAGACUGUCGGGCUUGAGAGUGGUAGGGGAAGGUGGAAUUCCGGGUGUAGUGGUGAAAUGCGUAGAUAACCGGAGGAACACCAGUGGCGAAGGCGGCCUUCUGGACCACAUCUGACGCUCGGACGCGAAAGCUAGGGUAGCAAACGGG
rnacentral:rRNA from 1 species